rnacentral:piRNA from 5 species
GUAUAGUGGUGAGCAUAGCUGCCUU